GACGAACGCUGGCGGCGUGCCUAAUACAUGCAAGUAGGACGCAGUUGCGAACGGGUGAGUAACGCGUGGGUAACUACCUAUUAGAGGGGGAUAACUAUUGUAAACGAUAGCUAAUACCGCAUACUAGUAGAUGGACCUGCGUUGUAUUAGCUAGUAGGUAGGGUAAUGGCCUACCUAGGCAACGAUACAUAGCCGACCUUGGAGGGUGGUCGGGCAAAAUGGGACUUGGAACACGCCCAGAAUCCUACGGGAGGCAGGCGGAGGGAAUCUUCGGGAAAGGGGCGAACCCUGACCGAGCAACGCCGCCUGAGUGAAGAAGGGUUUCGGAUCGGAAAGCUUUGUUGGUAAGGAAGCGGUACUUAACCAGAAAGCGACGGCUAACUACGUGCCAGCAGCCGCGGUAAUAC
rnacentral:rRNA from 1 species